GAAUCUGCCUUUUGGUUUGGAAUAACACGGGGAAACUUGUGCUAAUACCGGAUAAGUCUUUACGGAGAAAGCUUUAUGCACCAUUGGAUGAGCCUGCACUUGAUUAGUUUGUUGGUGGGGUAAUGGCCUACCAAGACUGUGAUCAAUAGCUGAUUUGAGAGGAUGAUCAGCCACAUUGGGACUGAGACACGGCCCAAACUCCUACGGGAGGCAGCAGUGGGGAAUCUUGCACAAUGGAGGAAACUCUGAUGCAGCGAUGCCGCGUGAGUGAAGAAGGCCCUUGGGUUGUAAAGCUCUUUCGUCGGGGAAGAAAAUGACUGUACCCGAAUAAGAAGGUCCGGCUAACUUCGUGCCAGCAGCCGCGGUAAUACGAAGGGACCUAGCGUAGUUCGGAAUUACUGGGCUUAAAGAGUUCGUAGGUGGUUGAAAAAGUUGGUGGUGAAAUCCCAGAGCUUAACUCUGGAACUGCCAUCAAAACUUUUCAGCUAGAGUAUGAUAGAGGAAAGCAGAAUUUCUAGUGUAGAGGUGAAAUUCGUAGAUAUUAGAAAGAAUACCAAUUGCGAAGGCAGCUUUCUGGAUCAUUACUGACACUGAGGAACGAAAGCAUGGGUAGCGAAGAGGAUUAGAUACCCUCGUAGUCCAUGCCGUAAACGAUGUGUGUUAGACGUUGGAAAUUUAUUUUCAGUGUCGCAGGGAAACCGAUAAACACACCGUCCUGGG
rnacentral:rRNA from 1 species